rnacentral:pre_miRNA from 1 species
CUCCCAACAUGCUAGCACAUGCUGUGUAUUGCUCUAGUAAGUGCUUUUAUGUUGGGAUUU